AAAAGAAAGAAGCAGAAGCUUGCAGCUAAAUGUGGACAUCAUUAUCACAUUUUUAGUGACUGACUUUCCGGACGAGAGAAGAAACCUCAUGUGCCCUGCUUCAAAUGCUGCUGUUUACCUUUCAUAACUGCCUGAAUCAACAAGAUGGAUAAAUAUUUUUCUGUCAUGAUGGGAUGAGAGAAAGAUGGAAAGAACAACAUGUGACAGAGAAUUGAUGCCAAACUGGGAAAAAAAGUUAAAUGGAACUCAGAAGGAG
rnacentral:lncRNA from 1 species